rnacentral:rRNA from 1 species
AACGAACGCUGGCGGCAUGCCUAACACAUGCAAGUCGAACGAGACCUUCGGUUCUAGUUUCGCACGGGUGCGUAACGCGUGGGAACCUGCCCUUAGGUUCGGAAUAACUCCCCGAAAGGGGUGCUAAUACCGGAUAAUGUCUUCUGACCAAAGAUUUAUCGCCUUUGGAUGGGCCCGCGUUGGAUUAGCUAGUUGGUAGGGUAAAAGCCUACCAAGGCGACGAUCCAUAGCUGGUCUGAGAGGAGGAUCAGCCACACUGGGACUGAGGCACGGCCCAGACUACUACGGGAGGCAGCAGUGGGGAAUAUUGGACAAUGGGCGAAAGCCUGAUCCAGCAAUGCCGCGUGAGUGAUGAAGGCCUUAGGGUUGUAAAGCUGUUUUACCCGGGAUGAUAAUGACAGUACCGGGAGAAUAAGCGCCGGCUAACUCCGUG